rnacentral:lncRNA from 1 species
CUGAACUCCAGUUAAAUCCAACUCUCCUCUUACACUUCUUCUGCUCCUGAUCAGCUAAAAAUCACUCAACUCUGAUAACUAUUCCCCCUUUAAAUUUUGACAAGCGGGUGCUGAACAUCGCCUAGCAAUCCUACUAUAUUUGCAUAAGAAAUUUAUUUUCCUAGUCCAUAAAACACUAUAUAGCAUCUCUUAUUCUUCAAAGCCUCCAACACCAAAUACAAAGCCUUUAACAUAAAUUUGUACAUAUUUCCACAUCAGACUUUAUUAUCGUUCUUACAAGAGAAAAGUUUACCACUCAGACAGGUUCCUGCUGUUUCUUUCUGCAAUUUCAUUGCUGCACUUCUCUUGUAGUUUCUCUGCUAUUCUACAAAUUCAAGUUCAUGUCAAAGGAAGAUAAAUCAUGGAGUUCCGUUCCCAAUUAUUCAGACCACCACAUCUCACGGAAACAUUGAAAAAUGCUGGAUAAAGUAUUUUAAAACUCUUCUUAAACGUGUCAGUUGACAAGAUUUUAAGAAAUUACCAGGCCAAAAUCUAAGUGAAAGCAAAGACCUAAUUGAAACUCUUCAGUGAACAUCCUGUACAUUCAUUGGGGUAAACACUUGAUUGUUUCCUAGCAAUAGAAUUGCUGGAUCAAAGGGUCUUUUUUCCCCCCUUUCUGGAAGAAAUACCUUUUCAUCACACAGAUUAUAAAAUGUCAUGCAAUGCAGAAAUGGCAUAAAAGAAGUUUACCAAAUUCUCUGCUGUUAUAACAAAUAUUUUGGAGCACUUUUAUAAUGAAAAUCAAAUCUCUCCCUGAACUCUCUGAUCUUAUCCUCCUGAGUUCACACGAUGCUGUUUAUCCUUCAUACUAUUUCCUAUGCAUGGAUUUUAUUCUUUGAAUUUUUUAAUUGGACCACAUUACACACAUUCAGACUCAAAAUGUGACAGGGUGAAGGUAGUGAGCAUUUUCCUUGAAAGCAGGUGCACAAGAAGUGCAUGGCUGCCUGCCUGUCCUAUUUGGGAGAUGCUGGACAGCUUGGUAAGUGCAGGAGGAAACUGUCCUUGUGCCAAUAUUAUAUUCCUG